AAAACUAUGAACUACAAAACCCAAAAGGAUUCACCAACUACUAGACCUAGGCUCUGAUACCACUUGAAGGAGUAUUUUGUGAAAACAUGUUCAUUUAAGCAAUAUCUAUAGCAUGCAAUUAACAAUUAAAAGGCGGAAUCAUGCUUGUAUGCACUUAAAACAAAACACUAACCAUGAAAUUCAAAGCCUAGUAGAUUGGUGAACCAAGACUCAACUCAAAAC
rnacentral:lncRNA from 1 species